AACUCUGGUGGCCUAGUGGUUAGAGCAUCCACCUCGGAUGUGGGGAGGUUGCGGGUUCAAACCCUGGUUGAGUCG